rnacentral:rRNA from 1 species
UACAGAGGGGGCAAGCGUUGUUCGGAAUUACUGGGCGUAAAGGGCGCGUAGGCGGCCUGUUAAGUCGAACGUGAAAUCCCCGGGCUCAACCCGGGAACUGCGUCCGAUACUGGCAGGCUUGAAUUCGGGAGAGGGAUGUGGAAUUCCAGGUGUAGCGGUGAAAUGCGUAGAUAUCUGGAGGAACACCGAUGGCGAAGGCAGCUCACUGGGACGGUACUGACGCUGAGACGCGAAAGCGUGGGGAGCAAACAGG